rnacentral:rRNA from 1 species
AAAAGCCACCUAUAAACUACGGUUUUAGGGGGUGAUCAAACCAAGGUUUUAAAAACCAAAUACGUUAAAACUUUCAACAACGGAUCUCUUGGUUCUGGCAUCGAUGAAGAACGCAGCGAAAUGCGAUAAGUAAUGUGAAUUGCAGAAUUCAGUGAAUCAUCGAAUCUUUGAACGCAUAUUGCGCCCAUUAGUAUUCUAGUGGGCAUGCCUAUUCGAGCGUCAUUACAACCCCUUAAGCCUUGUAGCUUAGCGUUGGGAAUCUACCCCUCACCUGGGGGGUAGUUCCUUAAAUUCAGUGGCGGAGUUAUAGCACACUCUAAGCGUAGUAGUUUAACUCGCUUUCAGGGAGGCUGUAGCUGCUUGCCGUAAAAACCCCCUAUAACUUAUAGUGGUUGACCUCGGAUUAGGUAGGAAUACCCGCUGAACUUAAGCAUAUCAAUAAGCGGAGGAAAAGAAACCAACAGGGAUUGCCUCAGUAACG